rnacentral:rRNA from 1 species
UGAACCAGCCAAGUCGCGUGCAGGAAGAAUGUCCUAUGGAUUGUAAACUGCUUUUGCAGGGGAAUAAAGUGCAUCACGUGUGAUGUUUUGUAUGUACUCUGCGAAUAAGGAUCGGCUAACUCCGUGCCAGCAGCCGCGGUAAUACGGAGGAUCCGAGCGUUAUCCGGAUUUAUUGGGUUUAAAGGGUGCGUAGGCGGGAUAAUAAGUCAGUGGUGAAAGUUUGCAGCUUAACUGUAAAAUUGCCGUUGAAACUGUUAUUCUUGAGAGUAGAUAAGGUAGGCGGAAUGUGUUGUGUAGCGGUGAAAUGCAUAGAUAUAACACAGAACCCCGAUUGCGAAGGCAGCUUACCGGGCUACAUCUGACGCCUGAUGCACGAAAGCGUGGGGAUCAAACAGGAUUAGAUACCCUGGUAGUCCACGCAGUAAACGAUGAAUACUAGCUGUAUGCGAUAUACUGUAUGUGGCAAAGCGAAAGCAUUAAGUAUUCCACCUGGGGAGUACGUUCGCAAGAAUGAAACCUCAAAGGAAUUGACGGGGGCCCGCACAAGCGGAGGAACAUGUGGUUUAAUUCGAUGAUACGCGAGGAACCUUAC